CAGUAGCCGCGGGAAUACGGAGGGUGCAAGCGUUAAUCGGAAUUACUGGGCGUAAAGCGCACGCAGGCGGUUUGUUAAGUCAGAUGUGAAAUCCCCGAGCUUAACUUGGGAACUGCAUUUGAAACUGGCAGGCUAGAGUCUUGUAGAGGGGGGUAGAAUUCCAGGUGUAACGGUGAAAUGCGUAGAGAUCUGGAGGAAUACCGGUGGCGAAGGCGGCCCCCUGGACAAAGACUGACGCUCAGGUGCGAAAGCGUGGGGAGCAAACAGGAUUAGAUACCCGAGUAGUCCCUGUCUCUUAUAC
rnacentral:rRNA from 1 species